rnacentral:rRNA from 1 species
AUUGAACGCUGGCGGCAGGCCUAACACAUGCAAGUCGAGCGGAGCGGGGGACGAGCGAGUAAUUCCUACGAAUCUGCCUGGUAGUGCGGGAUAACGUCCGGAAACGGGCGCUAAUACCGCAUACUAUCAGAUGAGCCUAGUGCGGAUUAGCUAGUUGGGGGGGUAAGGGCCUACCAAGGCGACGAUCCGGAACUGGUCUGAGAGGAUGAUCAGUCACACUGGAACUGAGACACGGUCCAGACUCCUACGGGAGGCAGCAGUGGGGAAUAUUGGACAAUGGGCGAAAGCCUGAUCCAGCCAUGCCGCGUGUGUGAAGAAGGUCUUCGGAUUGUAAAGCACUUUAAGUUGGGAGGCGUUACCAGCAGAAUAAGCACCGGCUAACUUCGUGCCAGCAGCCGCGGUAAUAC